UACUCCUACGGGAGGCAGCAGUGGGGAAUUUUCCGCAAUGGGCGGAAGCCUGACGGAGCAGUGCCGCGUGGAGGUAGAAGGCCUACGGGUCGUGAACUUCUUUUCCCGGAGAAGAAACAAUGACGGUAUCUGGGGAAUAAGCAUCGGCUAACUCUGUGCCAGCAGCCGCGGUAAUACUCCUACGGGAGGCAGCAGUAGGGAAUAUUGGGCAAUGGAGGCAACUCUGACCCAGCCAUCCCGCGUGCAGGAUGAAGGAUCUAUGGUUCGUAAACUGCUUUUAUCAGGGAAGAAAAAGCUUGAUUUAUCAAGAACUGACGGUACCUGAUGAAUAAGCACCGGCUAACUCCGUGCCAGCAGCCGCGGUAAU
rnacentral:rRNA from 1 species